rnacentral:misc_RNA from 1 species
CGGCGGGAGGGUGAGGCCGG